UACAGAGGGGGCAAUCGUUGUUCGGAAUUACUGGGCGUAAAGGGCGCGUAGGCGGCCUGCUAAGUCGAACGUGAAAUCCCUGGGCUCAACCCAGGAACUGCGUCCGAUACUGGUUGGCUUGAAUCCGGGAGAGGGACGUGGAAUUCCAGGUGUAGCGGUGAAAUGCGUAGAUAUCUGGAGGAACACCGGUGGCGAAGGCGACGUCCUGGACCGGCAUUGACGCUGAGGCGCGAAAGCCAGGGGAGCAAACGGG
rnacentral:rRNA from 1 species